GUCCCUGCGAGGAGUCCGCGCACCCUGCCCGCGGGGGCGGCCACCCCGGGCUCCAGCAGCGGUGGCUCUGUAGGAAGCUUCCUAUUCCUGCCUGGUCGGCUCCGUCGGUCUCUGUUGCUGUUUUCUUUUUUCUCUUUCUGGUCUUUGCCAGUUUAGGAGAUGGGGAUGAGUGGGCUCCUGCUGUUUGCCUCUCUCAUUCGCGGCGAGUUGGCGACUUGACCUUACCCUGAGCAGAGCGCGUGUGCCCCCGCCUGAGGGAGAUCCCAGAAAGGCAGCAGCAGAGAGUGAUAAUGGUGACAACCUCACUGAAAAAUUUGAAUUCUGAGUUUGUGACAAGGCCAACUUGAAAGUAGCACAGAGGGAUAAUUACUCUUCAAUCAGUGAAACCCUUUCAAAUGCUGUCCAAGAAGACUUCUAUCAAUCCAAUCCAGAGAGGCCACAUGAGGAUACAGUGAGAAGGUGGCUGCCUACAAGACAGGAAGUUGGCCCUCACCAGGCAUCUGAUCCUGGACUUCUCAGCCUCCAGAACUGUGAGAAAUAAAUGGUUGUUUUCUAAACUGCCCAGACUAUGCUUGUAUUAUAGCAGCCCAAUCCCAUGAAGACAGAACGUAACUUUUGAUUAGGUUAAAUAUCUUGAUGUGUGUACACUUGCCAGAAAUUCGGGA